AGUUAAAUAAUUUAUAUAAAAUAUUAAGUUGCAAACUUAAAAAAAGAUUUAAAAAAUCUUUAACUU
rnacentral:tRNA from 1 species